rnacentral:rRNA from 1 species
GAUGAACGCUGGCGGCGUGCCUAAUACAUGCAAGUCGAGCGAACGGACGAGAAGCUUGCUUCUCUGAUGUUAGUGGCGGACGGGUGAGUAACACGUGGAUAACCUACCUAUAAGACUGGGAUAACUUCGGGAAACCGGAGCUAAUACCGGAUAAUAUUUUGAACCGCAUGGUUCAAAAGUGAAAGACGGUCUUGCUGUCACUUAUAGAUGGAUCCGCGCUGCAUUAGCUAGUUGGUAAGGUAACGGCUUACCAAGGCAACGAUGCAUAGCCGACCUGAGAGGGUGAUCGGCCACACUGGAACUGAGACACGGUCCAGACUCCUACAGGAGGCAGCAGUAGGGAAUCUUCCGCAAUGGGCGAAAGCCUGACGGAGCAACGCCGCGUGAGUGAUGAAGGUCUUCGGAUCGUAAAACUCUGUUAUUAGGGAAGAACAUAUGUGUAAGUAACUGUGCACAUCUUGACGGUACCUAAUCAGAAAGCCACGGCUAACUACGUG